rnacentral:lncRNA from 1 species
CCCAGCCUCAGACGAUCGCUUUACAGACACUGCAUACUACACCUCGCAGGUCUGAACUGCGGCUCAAAGCAGCUGUUGCAGACCCGGGGCAGGUUUUCCUUCCUUCCUUUGUCUUGCCCACAGCUCACACAGAACGACUUUCCCCACCUCCUGCUUCCAGCCCUGGAGGCAUAACGUGCUACAGCAAACCGCUUCUCCAAGAUGCUGCAGGUAAACUUGUCACAACCGUCUCCGGCUGUUAUAACGAAUUUCAGCACCAGAAACACAGCAUCAGCAACCACCCCAGGGGUGCAAAGGCUCCGUCGAGUCCCAGGACGGGGUGCAAUUUCUGAAUUAUCCCUGCUGCUCAGCCCUGACGUUGCAGACCACGUUGGGAGCAGCGCUGAUCCCGCACUCCCCCUCCACAUCCUCCUCUGGUCGUGCUCAACAGACGCUGUGACUCGACAAGGAUCAGAUCAGGAGCGGAAUCUCUCCAAGCCCGAGCCGGGGCGGGGGGAAAGGGCACGAAGCACACGCCGAGAAGCUUGCGCAUCUGCUUAAGGUUCCUGCAGUCAUCUCCCUACUAAUCAUCUGCAUUAGCUGGGCUUCAGCACAGUGAAGAGUAGCUAACUGGUGAUCCGUUGGCCAACAAGCUUAGCAAGCAUCCUGAUAACCGUGGGUAGCCAGCAAGAACAUCAGCAGAGGGAAGUUAUGCUUCUGCCUUUCUGCCCAAUGUCAGUCCCUGGAUCAAAAAGUCACUCCUACCAAUCAUUUAAUGGAAGUCUUUCUCUCUCCAUGUUUUUAGGAUUACUUGUCUGCUUUGAUGCUGUUUAUACACAUCAUUUUGCAGUUUGAGCAGGAAGCUAAAAGGUGUGUAUAGCAAAACAUGACAAGAUAAAGCUAACUGAACUUUUAAACUCAUGGAAAACAUGGGACACUUCAUCCUGCUAAAUCACUUCCCAUGAAAGCUUAUUUCCCCUCUGGGGAAAGACAUUAUAUAUACAAAUAAUUAUCAUGUUCAUGGGUAAAAUUAAAACAUUCAAACAAUUAACAGCCAAGUUCAAUGCUAAAUGCUAACUUUGAAGGUUUGGGGGUUAAAUAAAAAAGUACUCAUUCAAUUUGAUCCUGUUUGAAAUGUUUUGCUUUGACUUAAACAUUUU